rnacentral:guide_RNA from 1 species
AUAUAACAAAUACAGAUUCAGGUAGGUGGUAUAGUGGUAUAGAAUCGG